rnacentral:rRNA from 1 species
CAAUAGCGUAUAUUUAAGUUGUUGCAGUUAAAAAGCUCGUAGUUGGAUUUCGGGUGGGACGCAGCGGUCUCGCAUUGCGUUUGUACUGCUGCAGCCCUCCUUCUUGCCGGGGGCGGCCUCUCGGACUUCACUGUCUGGGGGUCAGAAUCGGCGAUGUUACUUUGAGUAAAUUAGAGUGUUCAAAGCAAGCUUACGCUCUGAAUAUAAUAGCAUGGGAUAACACGACAGGACUCUGGCCUAUCGUGUUGGUCUAUAGGACCAGAGUAAUGAUUAAGAGGGACAGUCGGGGGCAUUCGUAUUCCGUUGUCAGAGGUGAAAUUCUUGGAUUUACGGAAGACGAACAUCUGCGAAAGCAUUUGCCAAGGAUGUUUCCAUUGA